rnacentral:rRNA from 1 species
UACGGGGGGAGCAAGCGUUGUUCGGAUUUACUGGGCGUAAAGGGCGCGUAGGCGGCCAGCACAAGUCAGUUGUGAAAUCUCCGAACUUAACUCGGAAAGGUCAACUGAUACUGUGCGGCUAGAGUGCGGAAGGGGCAACUGGAAUUCUUGGUGUAGCGGUGAAAUGUGUAGAUAUCCGGAGGAACACCGGUGGCGAAGGCGGCUUCCUGGACCGACACUGACGCUGAGGCGCGAAAGCUAGGGGAGCAAACGGG